AGUUAGGGUAUAUAUAGUUCACAUUGGCAGGUAAUGAGAGGACGAGCAGAGAACAAGCAAGGAGAGUGGUCUUGAAUCAAUUCUCCUCCCGAGGACUCAAGUACGGGCUGAAAGUGUGCUGCGGCACCGGUGGGCAUGGGUCGUACAACUACAACAACGGGAACAUUCGUGGUUGUUUGGGGCCUUUCAUGUUACUCAUCAGAAAAGAAAAACUGUGCAUCAGUGUCAUAUAUAUAGAGAUAUGUUUUCUGGAGGAGAGACCAUGUCUCCAGAGCUUCUCCCUGAAGAUGCAUUCAUGAGCUAUAA